AGAGUUUGAUCAUGGCUCAGGAUGAACGCUGGCGGCGUGCUUAACACAUGCAAGUCGAACGGGGCUUAUUGGAGCAGCGAUUUCGGUCAAAGCACUGAUAAGCCGAGUGGCGGACGGGUGAGUAACGCGUGGGCAACCUGCCCUGUACAGGGGGAUAACACUUAGAAAUAGGUGCUAAUACCGCAUAAGCGCACAGCUUCGCAUGAAGCGGUGUGAAAAACUCCGG
rnacentral:rRNA from 1 species